rnacentral:rRNA from 1 species
UACGUAGGGGGCAAGCGUUGUCCGGAAUCAUUGGGCGUAAAGAGCGUGUAGGCGGCUCGGUAAGUCCGCUGUGAAAGUCCAGGGCUCAACCCUGGAAUGCCGGUGGAAACUGUCGAGCUAGAGUCCGGAAGAGGCGAGUGGAAUUCCUGGUGUAGCGGUGAAAUGCGCAGAUAUCAGGGGGAACACCAAUGGCGAAGGCAGCUCGCUGGGACGGUACUGACGCUGAGACGCGAAAGCGUGGGGAGCAAACAGG